ACCUGCGGAAGGAUCAUUACCGAGUGCGGGUCCUUUGGGCCCAUCCUCCCAUCCGUGUCUAUUUUACCCUGUUGCUUCGGCGGGCCCGCCGCUUGUCGGCCGCCGGGGGGGCGCCUUUGCCCCCCGGGCCCGUGCCCGCCGGAGACCCCAACACGAACACUGUCUGAAAGCGUGCAGUCUGAGUUGAUUGAAUGCAAUCAGUUAAAACUUUCAACAAUGGAUCUCUUGGUUCCGGCAUCGAUGAAGAACGCAGCGAAAUGCGAUAACUAAUGUGAAUUGCAGAAUUCAGUGAAUCAUCGAGUCUUUGAACGCACAUUGCGCCCCCUGGUAUUCCGGGGGGCAUGCCUGUCCGAGCGUCAUUGCUGCCCUCAAGCCCGGCUUGUGUGUUGGGUCGCCGUCCCCCUCUCCGGGGGGACGGGCCCGAAAGGCAGCGGCGGCACCGCGUCCGAUCCUCGAGCGUAUGGGGCUUUGUCACAUGCUCUGUAGGAUGGCCGGCGCCUGCCGACGU
rnacentral:rRNA from 1 species